UAGGGAAUAUUGCAAAAUGGGCGAAAGCCCGAUGCGGCAACGCCGCGUGGGCGAUGAAGGCCUUCGGGCCGUAAAGCCCUUUUUGAGGGGAUGAGGAAGGACAGUACCCUCAGAAUAAGCCUCGGCUAACUACGUGCCAGCAGCCGCGGUAAAACGUAGGAGGCGAGCGUUAUCCGGAUUUACUGGGCGUAAAGCGCGUGCAGGCGGAUUGGAGAGUUGGAUGUGAAAGCUCCCGGCUUAACUGGGAGAGGACGUUCAAUACUUCCAGUCUUGAGUGCAGUAGAGUGAAGUGGAAUUCCGGGUGGAGUCGUGAAAGGCGUAGAUAUCCGGAGGAACACCAGUGGCGAAAGCGGCUUCCUGGACUGUAACUGACGCUCAGACGCGAAAGCUAGGG
rnacentral:rRNA from 1 species